GGGGGUAUAGGAUAGUGGUUAGUCCGCGAGUCUUUCAAAUUCGACACCUGAGUUCAAUUCUCAGUACCCCUA
rnacentral:tRNA from 1 species